UACGUAGGGGGCUAGCGUUGUCCGGAAUCAUUGGGCGUAAAGCGCGUGUAGGCGGUCCGGUAAGUCCGCUGUGAAAGUCGGGGGCUCAACCCUCGGAUGCCGGUGGAUACUGUCGGGCUUGAGUAUGGGAGAGGGAUGUAGAAUUCCAGGUGUAGCGGUGAAAUGCGUAGAUAUCUGGAGGAAUACCGGUGGCGAAGGCGGCAUCCUGGACCAUUACUGACGCUGAGGCGCGAAAGCUAGGGGAGCAAACGGG
rnacentral:rRNA from 1 species